GACGAACGCUGGCGGCGUGCUUAACACAUGCAAGUCGAACGGCAAGGCCCUUCGGGGUACACGAGUGGCGAACGGGUGAGUAACACGUGGGUGAUCUGCCCUGCACUUCGGGAUAAGCCUGGGAAACUGGGUCUAAUACCGGAUAGGACCCUGGGAUGCAUGUCCUGGGGUGGAAAGCUUUUGCGGUGUGGGAUGGGCCCGCGGCCUAUCAGCUUGUUGGUGGGGUGAUGGCCUACCAAGGCGACGACGGGUAGCCGGCCUGAGAGGGUGACCGGCCACACUGGGACUGAGAUACGGCUCAGACUCCGACGGGAGGCGGCAGUGGGGAAUAUUGCACAAUGGGCGCAAGCCUGAUGCAGCGACGCCGCGUGAGGGAUGACGGCCUUCGGGUUGUAAACCUCUCUCAGCACCGACGAAGCGCAAGUGACGGUAGGUGCAGAAGAAGGACCGGCCAACUACGUGCCAGCCGCCGCCGCUG
rnacentral:rRNA from 1 species